AAGAGAUGAAAAUAAUGAAACUGUAUGGUGCAGAAAGUGUCUGCUCCAUUACAGUUUCUGGUGCUGGGCAACGGUAGAUCACUAGGGCUUUGUACCGUGAAAUGAAGCUUAUGAUGAAAUAUUGGUGCUUGCCGUUCACUGACUCAAGAUCGUUCAGUGGUUAUCAUUGGCCAAUCUCACCAACGGGAUAUACUGAUCGUUUAUGUACCCGUGGCCAAGUAACAGCAAAGCGAGGUAAAAUGAGUAAAAAUUAAGUUUGAACUAAACUGAAAUUAUAUUAAAAAUAAAAUAAUUUAUAAAACAAUUAA